GGAGCCCGGUGCUUAGGUAUCUCC
rnacentral:siRNA from 1 species